rnacentral:rRNA from 1 species
UACGUAGGGGGCUAGCGUUGUCCGGAAUUAUUGGGCGUAAAGAGCGUGUAGGCGGCCAGGUAGGUCCGUUGUGAAAACUCGAGGCUCAACCUCGAGACGUCGGCGGAAACCCUCUGGCUAGAGUCCGGAAGAGGAGAGUGGAAUUCCUGGUGUAGCGGUGAAAUGCGCAGAUAUCAGGAAGAACACCCGUGGCGAAGGCGGUUCUCUGGGACGGUACUGACGCUGAGACGCGAAAGCGUGGGGAGCGAACAGG